rfam:Myotis brandtii contig248339, whole genome shotgun sequence.
CUUGGAGGGGGAGGGUCCCUCAGCCCAGAUUGUGAGAAGGCGCAGGCCAGGCUGAGGGACCCCACUAGUGCACA